UACAGAGGUCUCAAGCGUUUGUUCGGAUUCAUUGGGCGUAAAGGGUGUGUAGGUGGCGCGCUAAGUCGGGUGUGAAAUUUCGGAGCUUAACUCCGAAACUGCAUUCGAUACUGGCGUGCUUGAGGACUGGAGAGGAGACUGGAAUUCAUGGUGUAGCAGUGAAAUGCGCAGAUAUCGGGAGGAACACCAAUGGCGAAGGCAGCUCGCUGGGACGGUACUGACGCUGAGACGCGAAAGCGUGGGGAGCAAACAGG
rnacentral:rRNA from 1 species